UUCGUUCUUUCUUUCUUUCCCCAUACUUUUCCAUCUCUAGUUUCCCUCUCGUUUUCGCUUUCUCUUCCACCAUCUCGAAUUUCCACUCCAUUAAAGCAGCACCUCCUUCUCUCUCCAUUGAAGUGAUUUACGAGCUUUCUCACUCCAUUGAAGCAGCACCUCCUUCUCUCUCCAUAUCUCUGGUCUCCAUUGAACUCGCCGUGCUCUAUAUUCUCCAUUGAAACCAAUUAUGAGCUUUCUCACCUCCAUUGAAGCAGCUUCGAGUAAUUUUAGGGUUGUGGUAAUCUAGGGUUUGUCAUUGAAGCGCGCACGACUCUACCUCCACCACAACGGCCUCCUUGUUACGGCGGCAGGGCCUUCUUUUUCUAGGGUUUAUUGUCAAUUCCCCCCUUUUUCUUCGAUUUUUUUUGUUUGAUAUUUUUUUAUUAUUGAAGAUUUCUUGUGUACUGUGUGUGUUAGUGUGUGACUGCUGUGAUUUUCGUCGUCGUUAUUUUGCUGGAGUAAUUUGCGAUUCAUGCUACGAUAGAGAACCUGGUUUGUGCCAAGAAUUUGGUGAUAGACAAGAGCAUCCAAACAGAAUACAUUGAAGCAAUCAGAUCUGCUCAACAUUUCAUUUAUAUAGAAAACCAGUAUUUCCUUGGAUCAUCAUAUGCAUGGCCAAAUUACAAAAAUGCUGGUGCUGAUCAUUUGAUACCUAUGGAGUUGGCACUGAAAUUCCUGGUGAUGGUGAUGCUGAUGCUCCACUUCCACUAGCUACUUACCCGAUUCGUGAUUGCACUUCUCUGAUGAUCUGUAACAUCCCAGUUCGCCUUAGUCAGGGUGAGCUGCUACGGCUGUUAGACGAGCAUUGUCGUGAGGAGAAUGAGAAGCGUCGGAGUGCUGCUGAGGCUCGUUCGGAGUUUGACUUCCUUUAUCUUCCUAUUGAUUUCAAGAGGUAAUUUGGGGUAUGCCUUUGUGAAUUUUACGACGUGGGAAGGAGCUUCAAGGCUUUAUAAUUCUUGGAAAAGAACCACUUGGAAGAAUUGCUCCUAUAAUUCAAAGAAGAUCAGCCAGCUUGAUCCAGCUAAAUUUCAGCCAGCAGCACAAACUAAUAAUGGCAGCAGCAGCACACAACCAGCAGCAUAACCAAAGCAGCAACAACGAUACAGCCAAGAAACCAAGACACAACGUUUGUGGAUGGAUUAAGAAAAUGGGUAGACAGUUUCCAGCUUGAUUCAGUGUCAGAAGAAUCUUUGCUGUUGACAAUGUUAUGAUCUGGUUUGCAAGGUAACUGUUAAGGUAUCGUGCCAUAACCAGUGCCUACUAUCGAGGAGCUGUGGGUGCUUUGCUUAUGUAUGAUGUCACCCGGAAAGCUACAUUUGAGAAUGCUGCAAGGUGGUUGAGAGAGCUACGGGAGCACACUGAUCAGAAUGUUGUGGUCAUGCUAAUUGGUAACAAGUCAGAUCUUCGGCAUCUGGUUGCUGUUACUACUGAUGAAGGGAAGGCUUUUGCAGAACAGUAGGGUCUCGUCUUCAUGGAGACUUCUGCUCUUGAAGCAACCAAUGUGGAGCUGGCUUUCACUGAGGUUAGUGACAAGCGCACUUUGCGCGCUUUAGAGCAUAUUUUAGGAUGAUUUUGGAUGUAUUUGGGGCCGUUUUGGCCGAUUAUUACCUUGUUAUGCUUACGUUCCCCAU